rnacentral:sRNA from 1 species
AGGAAAGUGCAGAUAACAUACUCUCCAUUGUUAAACAAAGAACAGGAUCUUUUGGGGAUCGUCCUGCAAGACCUACUCUUUUAGAACAAGUGUUAAAUCAAAAAAGACUGUCGUUACUAAGAAGUCCAGAAGUAGUGCAAUUUUUACAGAAACAGCAACAGCUAUUAAAUCAGCAAGUUUUGGAGCAAAGACAACAGCAGUUUCCAGGAGCAUCAAUUUAAGACUGAAGCUGUCAAAGAGGAAAACUUUAAAACUUUAAAAAGGCAAACCUACCAAUAGGAAUAACAAAUUAAAUGUCAAGAGAGUAUAUCCAAUAUUAGGAUAUAAAUGUAUGUGUCUCAAGUUUAACUCUACAAAAAUUUGUUACUUGUUUUUUAAACUCUAUAUAUAAAGUUCAACUUAAUCAUGGCUGUUCUAAGAAGUACUUAUGGAGAGCAAGAAUGUUUUUGUUCAUUUCUUAAUGUGUGUGUUUUUACUUGCAUAUCUGUUCAAAACACUUUUAACAAAAUUCAUUAAAGUCCAGUUGUUGA